AGCAGAUGAACACUUGUCUGUGCGGUGCAAAAACAAACCAACCUUAUUAUUAUAUUAAUAUUUUUUUUUUUCGUGGAGCGGAGAUGCCGAGGCACCUUAGAGCGAAUUCGGGAAAAUAAAAUGACUCCAGAUUGCACGCCUUUCGAAACGCAACGCCUCUUUUCCGAGAAAGAAAGCCUGCAUCUGUGCUCGCAUCGCUGCUCAGGCUGCCUGUGUUCUCUCGCACCGCUGUCCCGGCGGUUACCCGCUGCUCGCCGAUCACCCGCUGCUCUCCUGUUCCCUUUCCCGGCGCCUCUCCACCAGCCCAGCCCGCGGCUCAAAGCAGCGCACGGCUUCCAGCCCCUGCGAGCCGAGCCGAGCCGAGCCGGGCAAAGCCUCGCCGAGCCCAGCCCCCGGCGGCAGGGCGCCGUUCAGCACUGCGGCCAGCGACAGCCGCCGGCCGAGCCCAGCCCAGCCCAGCCCAGCCCAGCCCGACGGGGCGGGCACGGGGCCGGCCGCUGGGUGCAGCCCCCCCGGGCCCGCUGGGUGCAGCCUCCCUCCGGGAGGGGUCUGCAGGCUGUGGGGGGGGAGCACGGGUCCUGCUGCUCCUCGGGCUCCGCGGCUGAGCGCUGCAGCCUGGCGGUGCUACAGGCAGCAGCCGCUCGGGCCUAGGAGGGAACCGCUCAGGUUUUUUCUCCUUGGUGCCUUUAGCACUCUUCCUCUUCUGAAACGCUAACGCACUCCGGGUGAUGCAUUCCCACGUCAAAAUUAGAAAAUGAGGCGCUGCUGAAACUGAAGGCACGUGCCUUUCACGGAAGGAGCUUCCAACACAAAAGGCAGCCGUUUGUUUGCAGCACGGCAACACAGGCACAAUUUUUACCUCUCCUGUUCCUACUGCACAGGGUAACAUCAGCCCUGGUCACUACUUCUGCCGCUGCCUACAGGGUUUGUUUCACUACAGCAAAGGAAACUUGGCUUCCCGGUGUAUUAAUAAUUAAGUGCCUCCCACUGAACAUUAGAAAAGGAGGAACUGAGAUGCUGAUUGUGGGGAGGAAAUUUCCAAGGUUCCAGGUAUGCAAAGAAGUUGACAGAUAACAGCCAGAGAUAAAAAUCAUGGAGUGAAAAGAGACAAAGAUGUUCUCCUUGUCCAAAGCUGAGCUAGGAAGCAGAGGAUCAGCUUGCUGCGGGAACAGGAAGAUCUUGGGACUUUUUCCAGCAGAUCCUGGAGUAUAAAUAACAAAGGCACAGCUGAGUCUCCAAAUAAAGCGAACAAAUCAGUUAGCCACAGAAUAGUGAAGGAGGCAAAGGUUCUCUGUGCAAUCAGGGAGGAAACACUGCUGAUGAAAAGGAGGGCAGGGAAAUUGGAGCGUCAAAAAUCUGACAAUCACUGAAGGACCGAGUAGCGUGCGUUGAUGAAAGUGCUGAAGAGAAGACUCCACGCCAGAGCCAGGUGGAAAUGGGGAAAGAAGGGACACAGGGCUGGAAGUCAGCAGCUGGAAGGCUGGGUGAUGAACUGUGAACAUGUUAAAAAAUGUCCAACAGUCUGGUAUUUUCUCUCUCAGAGACAGAGCAGUGGCACCACGUGACAGGUACUCUGAAUUUAUUAGGCUUAAUAAUGUAGGCUACUGAAGUGCAAAGCUAAAUCCAUUGCUAGAAAAACUCCACUGCAGGCAAUGGAAGUAUCAAAUCAAUUAUUGUGGACCCCCAAUACUGCAAUUUAUAGAGAUUGAUGCAUGUUUAAGUAGCCAAGUGUGCAACUUCUAGCUUUAAGCCCGGUCCUUUCCCCAAGCAGUUUUUGUACUUCAGCAAUACAUCAUUCAUCUAAGGAGCUGAAAGCUGCUCUUCUAUGUGUUUCUUCAAGUGCCAUGCUUCAGUUUUCAUGUAUCCCCUCCUAAUCCUAGCUCUAUUUUAAUUUAUCAAAACACAUAGACCUGAGUCUCCAUUUCCUUUUAUUAUCAAGAGAUAAAAAUGGUAGUGAUACAAAUUGGAGGAGAGGAGACUUUUCCAUCCUUGUAUGAUUGAUUAUUCAUGCUGGAAAAUACCACCCAAUAAAUAAGUGUGGAAGACUCUAA